UGAUAAGAAUUGUACGAGCCCCCAAUACAAUGAUUUAAAUUUUAAUAAAAGUUUUGAAAAGAAACAUAUUCGUGAUGGCGCUUGCCCCGACUUCCUGACGAUGGCUCUUUUGAUGUCCUUUCCUCUGUCGCCACGUUAGUCAGACUCCGACCGACUUCGAGAUUUUAGGUAGUUUGGUCCUCAGUAAAUGUCUCUUUUCCUGGCAUCCUUUCUCAUCCCCUUGGGCGUGUGGGCUGGUGGCCCCUAGAAGUAAGCUUUAUGCCAUGAUGAUGUCUUCGUCUCUCUCUCCUUUCCUAGUUCUCUUUGCCAUGAAGGAAGACAAUGAGAAGGUGCCUUCCUUGCUAACAGACUACAUUUUAAAAGUGCUCUGUCCCACCUAAUCUUGCUCUUUGGAGCUGCCUUGCUGCAGGAGGUCGCCAAGCAAGUCAUUCCACCACAGGGAUUGCAUGACACCAUGUAAUUGCCAAUGUGUAUUUAAACCUGUAUAGCUUAACCUGGGUUCAACUUGAGCAGCACGGGGCCCUUAGCUGUUGGCUUCUAGUCCUAGUAACCAUUGGAUGCAUGACCGUGGGGCGGGGCUGGUGAUGGAGCCCCCUCUCUUUCUAUGUUGGAGGAGGGCAGAUGUUUUCACCACUCACUAUGUAGUACGGCUCCAGCCUUUAAACCCAGCUUACCCUCUAAGACUAAUUUUGAAAUAAACCUCCAUUUAAUUAA